rnacentral:lncRNA from 1 species
UCUUAGAAAAGAAACUUCCACUUGAUAUGUGUUUGGAAGAUGUGUCCCUCAAGAAGUUGACAGGACAAAGUUCAACUUACCGUAGAUCUCGAUAUCCUUCACGCAAUGGUGUUGACGGCGAUCUCCAUUCAAUGAUUAUUACGAAUUCUGAAACGAAUCCAUAUUGGUGGGUAGACCUCGGAGGUGCCUUUUCAGUGCAUCAUGUUGAGAUUUGGAAUAGACACGCCGCCGGUA